UCACCGGACUGGGGGGUCCGGGGGGGGGUUACGGGGAUGGGAAAACGCAGCUGGUGGUGCGGUGCCUCUGGCGACAGAGCAGAUGGACCUGAAAGAGACCCGAGGUGACUUCGGGCUGGGCAGGGCACCCCCGGGAGUUGCCAGCGGCUCUCAGUGGACGCCUCUAGGACCCCUUGUCACUGCGAGCAGCGCCUGCUCUGGGGAGGGCUCGAAGGCGCCGCGCCUUUUCAAAGAACGCCGCUGCGUCCCCCAGGGGCUCCAACUCGGACAGCUAGACUGGAAAUACUGGUGCCAAAGUUAGGCUGAGUUUGAAGGACACCAGAGGGGAAGCGCAAGGAGAUGCCCUUCUCCCGAGCCGGGCAGAGCGCCAGGAACUCCUAGACAGGAAACUUCCCAUUGAAGCUAGAACCGGUCAUGCGACUCAGCUAAGUGUGGGGAAACACUGGCUCUAGACUCCAGAUAGGAAGCCUAAUCUUAGAGGAAGAAGUGGCCUUAGAGGAAGAGGAAAAAAGAGAAAUCACUCAGAAGAAAGGCCAUGUGAGGACACAGCAGCCAUCUGCAAGCCAGGAAGACAGCCUUCAGUGUAAACAGAACUCUACUGACACCUUAAUCUUGGACUUCCAGCCUGCAGAACUGUGGGAAGAAGAAGAAACUGAAGCCCGUGGAGAUUAAGAGACUUAUUUUCACAAGACACGUGGGAUGCAGCCAGGUCACAAACCUUCAUCGUCUGAUAUCUUUCAGCACUUGCUUCUAUAAGGUUUGCCAAGUUUCUAAAAGCUGGAAUACUGCCAAAUGAAGUGUAAGUCUCUAAGCAUCAAAAUUCAGGUUUGCCUUGCAACUUUGUCUUGCAGGAUGAGUCCAUAUUACAAAUGUAAGUCAUUAUUUCACUUCACUGCAAUGACCCCUGACUUGCGGACUUCAGGAAAUCCACUGGCUACAUUCUGUAGGUAGCAGGAGAGGUGAUUAGAGGAUUCGCUUCAGAAUGGAGAUUUAGUUUAACCAGACAGCUCUGCAAAAACUUAAAUAUCAUUAACGAGGUUAAUGCCGAAAAUAUUUUACCUGAAUUCCGUAUCUCUAGGUUCUAUACUUAAAUAUGUUAUAAUUAGUAGAUAGGUUCAUUAAAUUCCAAAUCACUUUAUAUCUUUCAUCCUUGUAUUUUCUUUAAUUGCUCAUUUUCCUGCAUGAAGACUAAAAGUCAAUCCUUGAAUAGUAAGAAUUUACCGGUUUGUCUGCUAACAGUUUGAAUAAAACUGUCCCAAAGAGAUUUUGUUAUGACUAAAUGAAUCCGUUUCUAGAAUAUUCUUUUUUGUUGUUGUUUUUGGAGACAGAGAUUUGCUCUUAUUACCCAGGCUGG